AUUGCAAAGCAUGGAUUGAGAGCAGCCGUGUGCAUCUUCCCAUAUGUGAAAAGGAGCAUUUUAAGAGGUGCAGUUUCUUUGAAAAAUGGAUCAAAUUCUUGAAUUCAACAUAACUCAAUAUGUUUGUAAAUAAAC